CUCCCCCUCCCCUCUCCGCUCUCGCUCUCCGUGAUUUAUUACUUGCCCUGCUGCUUCUGACAAACUAUUUGUAGGAAAAUGAGAUUUGGUCCGCGCUGGAUGGCUCCUCUGGGAGGCAGGCGUGGGGGUCGGGUGUCGGAGGCCCCGUGCGCCCCCCCACCCCCCACCAGAGCCCACGGCGCUCACGGAGCUCUUUAAGAUAAAUGAGCAAAAUUAAGAGACUCACUGGGGGAAGAAAACACUGGAUGGGAGCGAGCGAGAGCGGAUGGUACUUGGUUUCCUCCCAGAAAUGCAUCCACGUGCGCCCCACUGGGGCCUCCCCCAUCUGCUGCAGACUCCAGGGAACUUCCUCCCCUCAAAGACGAACUUCCAGCCCUGGAGCAUGUUUCUUCCUUUCCUGGGAUGUGGCGCUGAAAAGGGCAGAAACCUCUAGUAAGGCACAAGCAACAGAUUGGGGGUGGAGCAGCAGGUCUCUUUGGAGGUGGCCUGGAAGAAACCGGACAGAGAGGAUGGGAAGGGGAGAAACAGAAGAGUGUGACGAGAUCAUGAAGGAAAGAGGAGGCGUCUACUGAAUGUAAGGUAGAGCCAAAGGCAUCUAUUGAUGACUGAAGAAGAGGCAUGAAUAUGACAAAAACAGGAAGGGUUACAUCAAAAACAGUAUUGCUGGCCACCGCGCCGGCGAGCGCCGCCAGGGAGGCAGCGGCUGGAGGAGCGGACGGGCCCCGCAGGGCCCGAGGGCAAGGAGCAGCC
rnacentral:lncRNA from 1 species